UCUCUCUCCUUAUCCACUCUCUUUCCUUAUCCACUCCCACAGCCACACCACUUGUUUUACUCAGCUCGAGAGUGAGGAGGAGGACGAGCGCCGCGGUGCUCGUCGAUGCGAAGCUCUAGGACGGCGCACUCCGGGUCCCCGCCGACCGGCUCAAGCGGGGCGAGUGGCCGCAGCGGCCGUCGAGGCCGCCUCCGUCUGCGCGCACAUCGACUGCUCAACCUGGCGGCCAUCAUCGAGUUUGGCGCGCUCCGGGUCCGCGCCGACCGACUCAACGGGGCGACGUGGGCGGAGAGCGAGCGCCGCCUGCUUGCCCGCGCCGCCGCGGCGAGCGCGGACGUCGAGGCCGCCUCCGUCUGUGCGCACCUAGCCGCCGUCCAUGGCCACUGAUGUGGCUGCUCUAGUCGCUCGGUGCGACUAUCACCUCCGAUGCGGCUGGGCGUCCUUGCCGCGGCCGCAGCCGGGGGGGGGGGGGGGGGGGCAGCGCACCCUAUGGCUUCAAGAUUGUGGAGGCGCACUACUCGAUGACGGGCGUGGCGGUCCUCCGCAUCAUGUUUUUGCUGCAAGGCUGCAGGGAGUCCAUGCUCGUCGUUGUUCGCCAGGUGACGCCGCAGCCGCAGGUCGAGCUUGACCACCACGGUGGCGAACUGCAAAAGGCAUUUGGAUCCUUCCACUGCAGUUAUUGGGUUCUUUGUACGCUUUGAAGAUGAUAGUGUCGAUUCAGCAAAAGUGGUCAAACAGUGGAAUGUCAAAAUCAUAUCUAUAAGCAAGAAUAAAAGGCAUCAAGACAGACCGGCUGCUCUGGAGGUGUGGGAUCGGCUGGAUGAAUUUGUGCGGGUCGUACGUGUCUCUCUGGCUUAAUGACGCGGUGCUGCUGCUGCUACAAGACGCUACCAAAAUUUUAAAUUAAGAAUUUGUUGGUGGUGAUUCAUUUUAAUUUUAUUGGCACGUUGCAUCUUUCAACAAGCUAAUGUUUGGUAUGACAAAACUACAGGGAACGGCACAUCCUCAUAUUACAAAGAUAGAAUCUAUAAGGUUUUACUCUUUUGUCCAUUCUGAUUAUGUUUUCUUGAAGCAAGACUUAAUUACUCCAUGGUCCAUACAGUGAUAGUUCAUACACAGCCUAACAGUAUUUCCUUGACAUUUUGUUUUCUUUCAUUUUCAACUCCCAGUUGUUUAUACAGAAUUAUAGAUAUAAUAGUAGAAGUCGUCAGUGACAACUUCCUGCUGCACCUGCUUCUUACCACGGGCACAUGCAUGCAAAGGUUCUGUCAAAAGCCAUCUACGCAUGUGUUUUUCCACUCCAUAUCACCGAAAAGCAACGGUAUGUUUCUGGUGCCACCACCAACAGGUAUUGUUAGUUCUGUUGCCUCCAAUCUUAGUAGUAGUCGUCUCUCUGCAUCUCAGUCAAAUUGUACACUUUCAACUUUCUCAAGCAUUCGGCCAAAGUGGAGAUCAAUAUAACAACUAGCAUAAUUGCUUGCUUUCAUACAGCAAGGUAUGAACAUAGCUAUGCAUUUUGCUAGUCUCCUUGGAAAUUUCUUAUUUAUCUUUCCUAAGGUGUUGAUUAGAUUUAUUUUUUUGUCUGAAAAAUCAUAAAGGAAAGAAACAAAUAAAUCCCUACAAGUUGUUGUCGCUCAUACUUGUGAACUAUUUUUAGCAGUAGUAUAAAAAUAUCAUUUGUUAUCACUAAUGGGAUAAGUAGAAUUUGGUUAUCUAAUAGGAGUUAUUUUUAUUUUUAUUUAUCUUUCCUAAGGUGUUGAUUUGAUUAAAAAUCUGAUUCAUCAUAAAGGAAAGACUCUGGGUUGUUAUCGCUCAUUUUGUGAACUAUUUUAGCGGUAGUCUAAAAAUACCAUCUGUGGUCACUAAUGAGAUCAAGGGAAUUUGGUUAUCUAAUAGUUGUAUUUAUUUUAUUCCAAACUCGCACGCUAGAAUUAGUAGCUUCAUUUGUUUUCGUUUGUGCACCUGCCAGCAAUAAUAUUUUUUAAGCAAUAUUAAAGAGCUGGUCCAUUGCUGAAAACUAAUUUCAUUUUCUCACCGUGUAUGCAAUUUUGCACUAUUUAUUUAAUGAAAACUUCAAUCCUGUCUUGCAUCAAUCUUCAUCUUGCAAAAUUAAAUCACCUCUCCAAUAUCUGCCUCUAACAAAUACUCAUGUUUAUCAAAUCAUCUUUAGUAUUCAUGUAUAUGAGAACCAUCUUCAGUGCUAUAUGGCAAUAUGACUAAUCUUCAAAGUACAUAUACUGCAAAUCCCGUCUUUUUUAGUGCGUGUACUUAACUGCAAUGCCAAUUUGUUGUGAACAUCCCAAAAUAGACAGUGUUACAUUAGUAAAGAAAAACAACUUUCUUAUGGUUACUGAAACCAAUCCGUUUAAUAUUUAGAAGCUCACGCAACAUGUCCCGCAGCAACGCGCGGGGUAUCCAUCUAGUAUAUACAUGGAUGUGCGUACAUGGCCAGGACUUAUGUACGUGUCCGACCUGCCCUCUUUUACUUUUUCUUAGCAUGAGGCAUGGACAACUGCUUAUGUGUGUACGUGAUCAUGACUCUUUUUGACGGGCUAUUUCUAAUUCUUUCUAUUUUUUUAAGGGAAUAUUUCUAAUUCCUUAUAUGUCCCAUUUUGUAGAUUUGCUUCAGAUCACGGAACCUUGGGUUGAUGGAGUGCUUGUCUUUAGUUUUUGUUUUGACUUUGUGAAACUUGCUACCUAUGAUGAAACUGUGUAAUAUUGAUGAAACUAUGUAUAUGUAUGGAUGAAACUUGCUACUAUUGGUAAACUAUUGGUAACAUGUGUUGUAUAUGUGUUCGAUAUAUAUGUGUUCAUGACUAUUGGUAAUA